AUUGAACGCUGGCGGAAUGCUUUACACAUGCAAGUCGAACGGCAGCACGGGGGCAGCCCUGGUGGCGAGUGGCGAACGGGUGAGUAAUACGUCGGAACGUGCCCGGUCGUGGGGGAUAACGUAGCGAAAGUUACGCUAAUACCGCAUACGAUCUGAGGAUGAAAGCGGGGGACCUUCGGGCCUCGCGCGAUCGGAGCGGCCGAUGUCAGAUUAGGUAGUUGGUGGGGUAAAGGCCUACCAAGCCGACGAUCUGUAGCUGGUCUGAGAGGACGACCAGCCACACUGGGACUGAGACACGGCCCAGACUCCUACGGGAGGCAGCAGUGGGGAAUUUUGGACAAUGGGCGCAAGCCUGAUCCAGCCAUUCCGCGUGCAGGACGAAGGCCUUCGGGUUGUAAACUGCUUUUGUACGGAACGAAAAGGCUCUGGCUAAUACCUGGGGCUCAUGACGGUACCGUAAGAAUAAGCACCGGCUAACUACGUG
rnacentral:rRNA from 1 species